rnacentral:rRNA from 1 species
UACGGAGGGUGCAAGCGUUAUCCGGAUUUACUGGGUUUAAAGGGUGCGCAGGCGGAUAUGUAAGUCAGUGGUGAAAUCUCCGGGCUUAACCCGGAACUGCCGUUGAUACUAUAUAUCUUGAAUGCUGUGGAGGUAAGCAGAAUAUGUCAUGUAGCGGUGAAAUGCUUAGAUAUGACAUAGAAUACCCAUUGCGAAGGCAGCUAACUACGCGAUAAUUGACGCUGAUGCACGAAAGCGUGGGGAUCAAACAGG